rnacentral:rRNA from 1 species
UACGUAGGGUGCGAGCGUUAAUCGGAAUUACUGGGCGUAAAGCGUGCGCAGGCGGUUGUGCAAGACCGAUGUGAAAUCCCCGGGCUUAACCUGGGAAUGGCAUUGGUGACUGCACGGCUAGAGUGUGUCAGAGGGGGGUAGAAUUCCACGUGUAGCAGUGAAAUGCGUAGAGAUGUGGAGGAAUACCGAUGGCGAAGGCAGCCCCCUGGGAUGACACUGACGCUCAUGCACGAAAGCGUGGGGAGCAAACAGG